UUACUCUGGUUUCUCUUCUGAUCAUAUAAAUAUUUUGCCUUUUACUAAAGAUUUCCAUGGAGACAAAUUGGAGUAGAAAGGGAGACAAAUUGGAGUGAUCCAAGGACCUGUCCGGAUCCU
rnacentral:snRNA from 1 species